AAGCAUUCCUACAGAAUACCGAAAGGGUAUUGUGAGGACGGUCUGUUGCGCCGGGGGUCGAUGAGGCAGAGGCCCUGAGAAGCGCCCCCACCAAUUGCUCCGCCCCCAUUUUGUUGCCGAACCGUCGAAAAACGAGCUGCU
ensembl:ncRNA F10C1.11 ncRNA